GUUAUUUUUUAGAGCCUUGCAGUUGGUUCCUUGGAGCAUGUCCACAGCUUUUGCUUUGGGGAGGAAUUGAGUCGGCAGGAGGAAGGCAAGGACGUGGCCCAGCCCCAGGAGCUAAGAUGAAAACAGACUAACUCACAGUCACCUUCUCAACUUCACAGUAAAGGGAGAAAAGCUGGGCAGAAAGGCUGGCCGAGAGCAACAUAAGAGCAGAAUGCAGUGCUGAGCUGCCCUGGUUCUACUUCUGCCUCUUGCUGGAUUAUCGUAAUGUGCUUGGCCUGUGCCCUCUGGACCCAACUUCACACCCUGUGUCAGCAUCCACUGCCACCAGGAAAGGGAGGGACGGUAUCAUUAAGUGGACGCCUCGUAUGUGCCAGGUGCUGUGCCAGGUUCUCUACGUCGGAAUAUGUCUCAUAGUUGAGGAAACAAGCACAGAGAAGUUGAGUAACUUGCUUAAGGUCACACAGCUAGUGAGUGGUAAACAGGAGAUCAUGCAGCUCAAAAGCAGCCUGACUGCAAAGCCCACUCUGCCCCACUGCCCUGCGUGGUCCUCAGCAAGGCUGUGACGUGGAGACGAAACGCACUGAGUGAGAUCACUUGGCUAAAGCGGGGGCUGCUGACUUGGGCAACAAGGUCCCCUGCAUCUGCACCCGCAGCCUGACCGCUCGGGAAGCUGGUCUUUAAGACCAUCACAUUCCUCCCUAAAGCUUUCCAGCCCCUGAGCUGGAAGAAUCCUUAGGGCAGCACUGAGUUCCCAGCUCAACUUUAAUGUUCUUGAAAGUGCAGGGACCUUGCAAACCAGCCUGCAGCGCCCUCUGCCCGUAAAUGGACAGAAGGUAUCCGUGCGGAGAGACCAGCACAAUACCGAAACAGGCCUGCAGGCCGGUGCUGUUUGUCCUCCUCCGUGACCUCUAGGCCCCUGGGGAGGUGGGGCCGCCCCCCCACCCCGAGUAGUAGCCUCUGGGGUUUCGUUCAAGCCCGCCUGUUGGAGAAACAGGAGGGGAGAUGGCUCGGGGUGAAGGGGCUGCUGUAGGCAAGCGGGGCUCUCACAGAGCAGUCGUCCCGCAGCGGGCGGGGAUCUGACCUCCAUCAAGGGAGUAGAGAGGCAGAAACUCUGGCUGAAGGCGGGUGACUGUCCAUGUCGAGCUUAGAGUGAGGAGGAAAGGAGCCGCUUCUGGCAAACAGGAGGCUGCGGCAUGGCCUCGUUUCCUUUGGUGCACGGGCACCGUAUGCGCGCGGAAGUGCAGUGCCCUGGGGGCUGCAGCGUCAGGGGUCCAAUCCUGGAGGCCUCCAGUAGGUGGCCAGGGCCUCGCAUGCUUGGGGAGCCAAGGGCGAGGGGAGGGGGGCACAGGAUGGGGCUCAGGCCACUCCCCAAGACCGAGCAUCCGGAUGGGAUGCCAGCCGCGGACUCUGGCUGGAGCCCUGGGCUGGGCCUGUACCUGGGCGUCAGGUGGGCCCACAGAGGCCAAGGUUGGAGCGGCUGAAAGGGCCGAUGUGGGGAGCAGGGGCCCAAAGGACCUCCGUCCCAUCAGGGGGACAGUGAGUGCGGGGCUCAAGGGCGGCAGGG